rnacentral:rRNA from 1 species
AGUGAACGCUGGCGGUAGGCCUAACACAUGCAAGUCGAACGGCAGCACAGUAAGAGCUUGCUCUUACGGGUGGCGAGUGGCGGACGGGUGAGGAAUACAUCGGAAUCUACUUUUUCGUGGGGGAUAACGUAGGGAAACUUACGCUAAUACCGCAUACGACCUACGGGUGGAAGCAGGGGAUCUUCGGACCUUGCGCGAUUGAAUGAACCGAUGUCGGAUUAGCUAGUUGGCGGGGUAAAGGCCCACCAAGGCGACGAUCCGUAGCUGGUCUGAGAGGAUGAUCAGCCACACUGGAACUGAGACACGGUCCAGACUCCUACGGGAGGCAGCAGUGGGGAAUAUUGGACAAUGGGCGCAAGCCUGAUCCAGCCAUACCGCGUGGGUGAAGAAGGCCUUCGGGUUGUAAAGCCCUUUUGUUGGGAAAGAAAAGCAGCAGGUUAAUACCCCGCUGUUCUGACGGUACCCAAAGAAUAAGCACCGGCUAACUUCGUG